GAAGCUGUGAAGAGGUGGCCGUAUAGCGUUCUACUGUUUGACAGAGUUGAGAAGGCUGAUGCUUCUGUUUUUAGCACUCUGCUCAGGGUUUUAGACACAGGCAUGUUGUCUUGCAGCGACGGAUUUAUGAUUGACUUUAGAAACACUACAAUUGUUCUGAUAUCAGAUCUGGGGAAUAAAGAUAUCAUUUCUAGCCUUUUUGGCUACUGUUACCAAGGUAGCGGUAAUGAUGAGGGCACCCAACAGGUAAAUUAGUAGGAACAGAACCACAGAAGUAUGUUUUUUUGUGGCAUUGAUAUGUCAAUAACGUAGUGUGUUCUUCUUCUCAGCAGGAAGAUAAUCGCUUUAGGUUUGAGUUGCUUAAUCGCGUGGAUGAAGUUAUUUUUUUCAAUCCUGCCUCGCAAAACCAGAGGGACAUAGCUAGGCUUCCUAUGACGGAUGAGCAAAACAAGGGUUUGCCAAUGACAGCUUUCUUUCAUCUGUUCCAAACCAGUCAUAAUCCAGUAAGUUUCCGUUUCAUUUCUUUUUCCACAAAAAUGAUUAGUUUUUAAUUUGUUUUUGUCAAGAGUAAAGUUCGAGCAUUCUAAUACUUGAACCUGUUUUUUUUUUUUUUACAUUAAAAAGAACUUCAGUAAAACGGUGAGAGAAGUACAUAUGAGUUCGUAGAAGAAUAUUACAGCCCCAAUAAGCAACGUACAAAAUAAACAAUCUACAAUUUACCUAGCAUUCAAUUUAAGGACAUGCUUGAAUCAGUUUGUCUUGUUACUGCUUCAUAUAUUUCUACCUUAUUUAUGAAUUCUAUUGUUUAUUUUGGUGCAGAGACUUUACAAGCUUGGGAAAUUCAUGCAUUUGAUGCAGUGGUGUCUAAAAUUUCCAUGGGGCUCGGGGUGUUUUGGAUAAAAGUUUGUGGCCAUAAAACGGUCUAGUACCUUUUUUACAGGGAAACAGUCUAAUACCUCCUUAGAGGGUGUCAAGUUAUUUUGGUCCUUGGGCUGUCUUAAUGCGAAGCUUAUGAUGGGUCUCUAAGAUACUGUCUUUCUUGUUUACCUUUGCUUCUAUAAAUGCCUUAAGCAGCAUUGUAAGUUUUAACCAUGGGUAAAAACUCUUUCCUUUGUAUGCACCCCUCUGUUAUGUGCACUGACGACCUCUCUUCAGGUUUCUUUCAAACCUCGUGCACUUUCAAGCCAGAAAUUUUGAAUCAAAAUGAAGUUAGGGUUUUGAGAAAUAAGGAUACCAGCCAAGUUGGUUUCCGAGUAACUAUUAGCCCCUUCCUUAUAACCUAGAUUUAGCUAAAUGUGUUUCAAUUGUGGUUUUUACUGGUUGGUGACAAUGCGUAAUAUUUGUUAACAUUCUUGCUCACUCUUGAAGGCAAACUCGAAAACUAUUUUCUUUUGAGAGACAAUAAAUGUCUAGCAUAACCGACAAUGUAGUAUAACCAGUUUUUUUAGGAUGUGAUCAUCUUCAUUAAGCCAAUGAGACUUUGUUUGAGUUGAUCGGGUAUUCUCGCAAGUUUUGCGCUUCUCAAGAAUACAACAGUAGUAUAGAUGCUCUUCCUGUCCAAUUUGUUUAUGGCCUCGAAUUCAAAAACUAUUAAUUUUAAUAGUUGCUAGGUUCCCGAAUUUAAAAAAAAUAAAUGGUUCGAAUUCACUUUAGCAAUUCAGGCCACAUAACAUCUAUUUUUAAAUUUGUAGAACAUUUCUUGGUUCCAAUUCUAUACUUCAAACCUUUUCAAGUGACCACCAUGGCUGACCACAAUCUUCAUCUCUCUCAGUUUUAUUCAUAGUGCCAUUGAUAAAACUCUGGUCAAAGAAUCGAAACAAAAGGUCGGUCUCCAGGGUCUUACGGGAGAGGAAAGCCACCAAGCAUGCCAUAACCCACCUGUGGGUAUGUUCCAAUAUCAAAUCGUAACCCUCACCACCGGUACACCACCGGUGCCUCCUCGGGUCUCCCCCAAACCCUUUGCCCGAGCUUAUAUAGAGUCCCACAAGCAAUGAAUUCAUAAGAGAUCACUAGGUUUUUUUUUAGACACGAUCUCUAAUUUACCUGAAGCAAGAUAUUCUAAAAAAAAAAAAAUUCAAAAUUACAUGCACAUUGUCGUCGUGGACCAAAGGGGGAUUUCAUUUUUUUUUUACAAGAAACAUUUGAAGACCAGUUCCAAUGAACGUGUAAUAUUGGUUAAGAGCAUUCCUACUGUUUAUCGUAUGAUACAGAUUCCAUAAAACAAAGAAUUAACAGUUUAUACAAACGAUUGAAUAUCGAUUAGAAGGGCUUGAAUGAAUGGUUCACAAAAAAUCAAUGAUUUGAUCUGAAAUUGACAACAUUUUGAUCUGAAAUUGCAACAUGUUUUGAUUAAAGAGAGAACAAUGGUAGUGGGUACCAGUGGUAUGGUAGGUGGUGAUCUGGGUUUGCUGCCGCAAAAGAGAGAUUGAAGAUAGACUGUGAAGGUUGAGUAGUAAGAGAGAGAUAUUUGGGUUAAUAAAUAUAGGAAAGUUGAUUUAAGAGAGAGCAUAGAGAUUGAGGUCAGUGAUUGUGAAGGUGUAGCAAGAGAGAAACACAGAAUUUUCGGAGAAAAUGUGGGGAUGAAAAAGUCUUUCAUUGUCACCAUGAAAACUACUCGUGCCAUUAGCACUUAUCGCCCUCAUUAAAAAUAUGGAAAAACAAAAUUGGACAAGGUAACGUACAAACGAGCAUCACCCACAAGUCACAACUACAUGAAACUAUCCAUUUGAGUCUUUGACUCACGGAUGAUUAAACUAAUGAUGAGGUUGUCGGAUUUUCAAAAGGCCCACCGAAUAAAAGGCAAAAUUCAUGAUCUCUCUCAGUGUGCGUGCGCGUGCGCACCCCGCAUCAGCACAAGUAGUAGCCAAUCCAUUAGACAAGAACCACAUUAUUGUGGAUGACUUCACGCUUAACGUUUGGGACAUGGGGACCCCAGGAGAUUUCUAACAGAGAGUCGAUUUUGAAAUUACACUGCGCUUGUUUUGCUCUUUAAAUUUAGUACAAGACCCCCCUUCGUAAAUUGCUGAUUAAUUCUUCUGAUUCAAUUUGAUGAUAUUAUGAAAUAUAACCUGUUGAAUGCCAGUUCUCCAUUACAGGAGUCAUUUAGAUAUGAAGAAAAAGUCUGCCGAUAAAAAAAGGGAAAAAGAGAUGAAAAAAAAGUAUAGUUUCUCCUUAAUACAAGUCAAGUGAGAACUAUAGCGAUUAUCAAAAGCGGAGAGCUCUAUUUGGAUGGAUGAUCCCUUGUCGACCAUCAUAUACCCCCCACCUCCCCCUCCACACCCACACCCUACAUCCGCCCAUCAUCAUUGUCUUCAUACCACCAAUCAUCGUCUUCAUAACCAUCAUGAACCGAUUCACCUAAAAAAUGUAAUAAAGAACAAGAUCACACAACUAUAAAGCAUAUUUAAGGCUCCAUUUAGUUUCGAAAAAGAGAUUUGACAGUAUACUUUAAUGAUAGUGACAUAAAUUUGGAUUGAUACAUAAUAUAUAGGCAGGGGCGGAGAGCCAGGAGGGAUAAAGUGUGAAAUAUAUAUAUUAGCUAUAAUAUAUAUAUAUAUAUAUAUUUUAGGGCAAAGUUUUGUAAAAAAAAUAUUAUGAACUAGCCGAAUUUUUUUAUGGUUUUUUAUGAAUGACAAAGAUAACAUUGGAUUAUGAGGUAUUGGAAUAAUGGAGGAUAUCUGGGUGUAAUUUGCUACGUAUGGCAAAUAUACCAAACCAAACCAAAAGUUUUGUUGUCCUAAUCCUAAUAUCCAGGGGGUAUCAGGUUCCAAUCGUUUUUCUCAGAUAUACUAAAUAAGUCAUAUCAAUUUUUUUUACCUAUAGCCCCUAUGACCUACACCUAUGUUUAAUUAGGUAUUCCUAAUGUGGUAUCCUUUAUUUUCUUAUAGUGAUCCAAUCCGCUUUAUUAUCGUGGAAUUCUAUUGGCCAUGUUGACAAUGACCAAAGUCGAUUCUCUUUCAACUUCCAAUGGGGCUACUCCUAACCAGUUCAUGGAUGCAUUCAUUUCUAUUUCAAUCCUCGUCUCAUCACACAUCCAACUUAGUAUCAUUGUUUCAGCUACACUCGUUUUAUUUGUGUUAUUUCUUAUUUACUCGCAUUGUUUCCAGUGAAGCAUCUUGCAAUUCUUCUAUAUAUGGUUUCCUCCAAUUUCGUUGGUACCUGUCGAUUGCUCAAUAUGCAAGAAGUACCUCUCCAAUUGAACAAACUUUGGUUCUGUGUGGUGCACCCCGUCCAAUUUCUACAUCCUCAUUAAUUGUCAAACCUAGAUAGAGACAUUGUUCUCUUUGAUAUCUUCUUGUCUUCAAUGUUCACUUCUUUGCUUUUUCUACAUCUAUUGUUACGAAACCACAUUCCACAUUUCAACUUUUGCUCUAAUUAUUUUAAACCUUUUGACUAAUCGUUUCUCCCUAAUGAAGGCAAUUGGUGAUGUAGGCAAUCUGUUGUCCAUCUAGGAAUUCGUGAUAGGUGCUAAGACGAUGUGAACCGCAAGAGGUGGAACGAUGAGAGAGAGAGAGAGAGAGAGAGAGAGAAUGGGCACUUUCAUAAUGGGUAACAUAGGGGAGUAAACAUGGCUAACCUAGAGGAUAUUCACAAUAUGACCAUAAACUUUCCUUCCAUGAACGAGGAGUUUGAUGUUUUAUCUACGAAGGAAGUUUAUCUAAUAAUGAUCAUCGUGUUUGAAAGAAUGGAAGUGGGUAUAUUAAACAAGGUGCGGUAAUAGCUUUUUAAGGUGAGGAAGAGAAACUUAAACAACGAGAAAGAUAAAUAUGAAAAAAAAAAACAAAAAAAAAAACCUAAGCAUCAAGUUGAAACAUUUGAAAUUAGAAGAAAAUUGGGUUUAUUGAUGGGAAGACUCAAGAAUGAGUCUUAUUCAAAACUAGAUUCUUCAUGGGAUGUAAGCAAAUGAAAUCCGCACGCUUAAAGUUGAAGGAUUGAGAAAGGAGAAAGAGAGCUUGGGUUAAAUUUCAUGGAAAUAUUGUUACAACGAAUGUGUAUCACAAGAAUAAAGGAAGUCAAACUCCAUGUUAGAAAAAGGUUAAAAGAAGAAGACUUAUCAAAAGGAAAGGCUUAAACGAAUCUUUCUAAGCCAAACACAUAACCUAGUGCCGUUAGAGAUUCCAAAUGAUUGGUGUAAGGAAAAACUUGUUAUUACACCAUUAAAGGACCACAUGCAAAAUCAAUGUAUAUAUACCGCAAUCGUUGCGUCCCAACAGGAAAUAUGUCUCGAACCACCUCAAGUUUUUGCUAGGGUCUCAAAAUGCAACAAACAAAAACAUUGAGAAUGCAAGUUAAAUGCUCAGGACCCAUGUGGAUGUGAAAACUGCCAACUCUUCACAAGGGCCUUUUUCUUUAAGAGGAGAAAUACUAAUAUAGGGGUCUUGUAUGAAUUGGAGGUGAAUUCCAAAAUUCUAUGGCCAACAUAGCAACUUGGGAGUUAGGAUAAAAGGGCUUUAUUGUAUUAACUUAAGACAAAUUAUCAAUGUUAAAUUGUAAGCUCAUUUCACGCGUGUUGAGAAUUUAAGUCAAAUCAUAAGAAGUAUGAGCAACCUAAUAAAGGUUGAAAGUUGGUUGUGCCUGUCAAAAGCUGCUAAAUGUGUAGACAGGCGUACAAUUUAUUUCAUUUUACUUAUCUGGAGUGACGGAGAGUAACGAGGAAGAGUUAGAUUGCUGCUUCUGCUGCCAUAUUUUUUUUUUAAUUUAGAAUGUUUUAUAUUAUAUUCCUUUUAAAUGGCAUAAAUUAUAAUUACACUCCUCUAAAAACUUACAAUGAUUGGGUGGUUAACACUUUUACGUGAUAAAUUAAUGUUGGGCAGCAUAUGUCUAUUAUCCUUCAGGAAAGGGUGGACAUAUAGAGGUAGACUCUUUUGAGCAAAAUAUAUCUUUCUUAAAUAUUAGUUUGGCUGAUACGUAUCUCGUUAUCUCUAUAAAAAGUUUCUAUUGCUUGUCUUUGUAAUUUAUCUAAAACUCCUUGAGAUCCAACUAACAGACAUUGCUAUUGGCUUACAGCUGUGGAGUGGAUUUACUUCUGCUUUGCUAUCCUUUGAAUUGAUACUAAUUAUUAGUGUGCUUAUGCUUAAGCAAUUUACUUUACUCUGAGAAUGUAGUGAAACCCUUAACCCCCCAGAAAAAACAUGGUAUUGUUAGUAGUUCGCCAUGCUGGUUUAGUUAUUGACAAUGAGUACUGGAAUUGUUUUUUUAUGCUCAUCGUGCAGUGAGGUUGCAUCUAUCGGGUGUGAAACUACCCUAAUCAAAGUAUUGUUGAAACUGCUCUCUGCAGUCUUCAGAACUUGGAGUGCUGCCUUUGUCGUGUUCCCAUAUUUCUCGUAAAGUAUUACAAGCCUUAUAGCUUGCAUGUGCAAUUGAUUGCAGUUGUCCCUUAUACUGAGCAAGUGUCUUAAUGUGUACAAUCUUCGGUUUUUCUUUUAAGGAAAUGCUAGCUUGAAGGCCUGGCCUCUCUGGGAUUGUAUCGAUAUUGUUCACUGGAAUCGUAAGCAAUAAUGAUAGACAUUUUUUUACAGUGUGUUGCCCUAUCCUGUUGUGCAUUGUUGUAAUUGAGUUGGUUUGUUGUUAGUUUUAGGUAAUGAAGCACCACAAAAUUCUCAAUUUGUCAGACAAUUCUCAGCGAUUUGUUAUCUGUUUUUUUCCAUUGAUAUCAUCACUAGCAGAAAAAACAUUUGUGUAGGGAGCAUUUCAUUAUUUCACCAUUAAGAGUUGUUAAAUUUUGAUUCACUUUUUCUGCCACCCCUCUUAAGGAUGUUGUUUUCCAUUACCAUCUGUCCACCACACAUGAUAGGCAAGUAUAAGAAAUGCAGGACAAAGCCAAGGCCAAUACUAAAACUAAGAUUUUUGUGAAUCAAUUUUGGGCUCACCUGCAAUGGUAUAGGUCCGGCCCUCGCUUGGUGUCGGUCUGCCCUCGUCGAUGCCUCACUUGCCAGUGAAUGUCGUAGGACCAGGCCAUUUCGUCAUCACAUCUAGCUUGCAGCUCCAUAAAGGUCUUGACUGCAUUUCAAUUCAAAAUGCGGCAUUUACGAUUUCAUAGCACGAGGCAUUCGUUUGGAGGACUAGGAGCACAGAUACAGGUAAACCCGAACAGCCACCACUCAAGCAUAGUUGCAUGUUCCGCGGGUUGAAUCAACCAAAAACCGGUCACCGACACAGAAAGUGUAACGACGUCCCAACAUUUAGUAUAAGUAAUCCUUCUCCAACUCAUCUAAAAUGGAAAUAUAGGGAUCAUCCUAUGGUCAAUAGAAUCUAUCCCUACAGGUAGGCAGGAUACGUCGGGACUGGAAAAGCAGCCACCCUCAAGCACGGGAGAGCGUGGAAUCCGUGUCCGCAAUUCGAGGGGACCAUGAGACGAAAAUGUUCCAGUAGAGCAUUAGCGGUUGAAUAUGGAACAACCCUCCCCGCGUAAUGCAAGAGAUUGGUCGAUCGUCUCACUCACCUCUCCUUCCAGGAAGAGAUUUCUGAUAGAUUGUUCUACGUCUUCUUCCUCUUCUUCUA
rnacentral:lncRNA from 1 species